rnacentral:rRNA from 1 species
UGAUGGAAAGGCCCUAGGGUUGUAAAAGCUCUUUUGUGCGGGAAGAUAAUGACGGUACCGCAAGAAUAAGCCCCGGCUAACUUCGUGC